rnacentral:rRNA from 1 species
AUUGAACGCUGGCGGCAGGCCUAACACAUGCAAGUCGAGCGGAUGAGAGGGGCUUGCUCCAUGAUUCAGCGGCGGACGGGUGAGUAAUGCCUAGGAAUCUGCCUGGUAGUGGGGGACAACGUUUCGAAAGGAACGCUAAUACCGCAUACGUCCUACGGGAGAAAGUGGGGGAUCUUCGGACCUCACGCUAUCAGAUGAGCCUAGGUCGGAUUAGCUAGUUGGUGAGGUAAAGGCUCACCAAGGCGACGGUCCGUAACUGGUCUGAGAGGAUGAUCAGUCACACUGGAACUGAGACACGGUCCAGACUCCUACGGGAGGCAGCAGUGGGGAAUAUUGGACAAUGGGCGAAAGCCUGAUCCAGCCAUGCCGCGUGUGUGAAGAAGGUCUUCGGAUUGUAAAGCACUUUAAGUUGGGAGGAAGGGCAGUAAGUUAAUACCUUGCUGUUUUGACGUUACCAACAGAAUAAGCACCGGCUAACUUCGUGCCAGCCGCCGCCGUAA